rnacentral:rRNA from 1 species
UAUUGACAAUGAAUUGUUACCUCCAGUGCUGGCUUCAUUNNNNNNNNNNUUGGUGGCUUUCAUCCUUAACACCCUGUGAACCUUUGGNNUUAUGCUGGUUUCGGCUAGCUGAGGAUUUAUUUACACAAACUUGAAUGUAAUGAAAGACCCUGUUGUGCGUAAGCACUAGUUAAACAACUUUCAACAACGGAUCUCUUGGCUCUCGCAUCGAUGAAGAACGCAGCGAANUGNNAUAAGUAAUGUGAAUUGCAGAAUUCAGUGAAUCAUCGAAUCUUUGAACGCACCUUGCACCCUUUGGUAUUCCGAAGGGUAUGCUCGUUUGAGUGUCAUUGUAAUCUCACACUCACAAAUCCUGUUGGAUUAAGGGAGUGGUGGACUUGGGUGUUGCUGCGUUACUGUGGCUCAUCUUAAAUGGAGUAGUGCAACUCUUGGUUGGACAUAGAACAGCGUGAUAAGUAUCUUCGCUGGCUCCUCACUCGCAAGAGAGAGGGUGUGCGAUCGGGAGCUCUGUGCUUCAAACUACACUGUCUUUGGACAAUAUUUGACAACUUGACCUCAAAUCGAGUAGGACUACCCGCUGAACUUAAGCAUAUCAAUAAGCGGAGGAAAAGAAACUAACAAGGAUUCCCCUAGUAACGGCGAGUGAAGAGGGAAGAGCUCAAAUUUUGAAUCUGGCGUCUUUGGCGUCCGAGUUGUAAUCUAGAGAAGUGNUUUCCGUGGCGGACCGUGCACAAGUCUCCUGGAAUGGAGCGUCAUAGAGGGUGAGAAUCCCGUAUAUGGCACGGACUCCCGUUGCUCUGUGAUACACUCUCAACGAGUCGAGUUGUUUGGGAAUGCAGCUCUAAAUGGGUGGNAAAUGCCAUCUAAAGCUAAAUAUUGGCGAGAGACCGAUAGC